rnacentral:rRNA from 1 species
GAAGUUAGACUUGCGCGGUGUUGAUUCAGCCUGGCUUCGGCUGGUGUACUUCUUCAUCAUUGCAGGCCAGCAUCAGUUUGCUUCACUGUAAAAGGGUGUUGGGAACGUGGCUUCUUCGGAAGUGUUACAGCCUUUCACUGGAUGCAGAGUCGUGGACUGAGGACCGCAGCGCGCCUUUACGGCAGUUCCUUCGGGUUCAAAGCGCUUAGGAUGCUGGUAGAAUAGCUUUAAACGACCCGUCUUGAAACACGGACCAAGGAGUCUAACAUGCCUGCGAGUGUUUGGGUGUCAAACCCGAGCGCGUAAUGAAAGUGAAUGAAGGUGGGAUCCGCAAGGUGCACCAUCGACCGAUCUUGAACUAUUGUGAUGGAUUUGAGUAAGAGCAUGUAUGUUGGGACCCGAAAGAUGGUGAACUAUGCCUGAAUAGGGUGAAGCCAGAGGAAACUCUGGUGGAGGCUCGUAGCGGUUCUGACGUGCAAAUCGAUCGUCAAAUUUGGGUAUAGGGGCGAAAGACUAAUCGAACCAUAGACUUGUUAACAAGGCUACUAGGUGGUUGAGAGUUGUUGUUAAGAGCAACGGCUAGUGGUACUUCAGGUACCGCGACAUGAUCAAAUUGACGGAGAAGUCUUAAGGACUUUGCACACCAAGCUGUUCAUCGAAAGAUGGCAGUGGCCAGGCCGGACCCAACUCCUUUGUGACUUGCGUUGACGGUGUGGGUAGGGUAACAGAUGCAAAGUAUGGAUAAGGUCGCAAGACCUUUGGCAAUAGACAAUCCGCAGCCAAGCGCUGUCAAAUGCGUGCAGUUCAGAGACUCAAUGGUUAUGGGACACUGCGCUCUUGUGCGCUAAGUCUUAAGUUAGAGUCCACCCCUUGCGAAAGCAAAGCCAACCGAUUACGAUCGUUGGGACCUUAGGCAGUACGUC